CCUACGGGAGGCUGCAGUGGGGAAUAUUGGACAAUGGGGGGAACCCUGAUCCAGCCAUGCCGCGUGUGUGAAGAAGGCCCUCGGGUUGUAAAGCACUUUCAGUGAGGAAGAACGCCUGGUGGUUAAUACCCAUCAGGAAAGACAUCACUCACAGAAGAAGCACCGGGUAACUCCGUGCCAGCAGCCGCGGUAAUACGGAGGGUGCGAGCGUUAAUCGGAAUUACUGGGCGUAAAGCGCGCGUAGGUGGCUUGAUAAGCCGGUUGUGAAAGCCCCGGGCUCAACCUGGGAACGGCAUCCGGAACUGUCAAGCUAGAGUGCAGGAGAGGAAGGUAGAAUUCCCGGUGUAGCGGUGAAAUGCGUAGAGAUCGGGAGGAAUACCAGUGGCGAAGGCGGCCUUCUGGACUGACACUGACACUGAGGUGCGAAAGCGUGGGUAGCAAACAGGAUUAGAUACCCUGGUAGUC
rnacentral:rRNA from 1 species